GGAGGGGAGGGGGAGGAGACAGGAAACUCUGGUAUAUAUAAACAGUGGAAUAUUAUUUAGCCUAGGAAAGGAAAUCUUGCCAUUUGCAAUAAAUACUAUGGAUGGACCUGGAGAACACUGUGCUAAGCAAAAUAAGCCAGUCACAGAAGGAAGAAUGCUUCAUGAUUCUAUGUAGAUGAGUGCGCUGUAAUAGUCCAACCCAUAGGAGCAGAGAAGGGAGUCUGUAUUUUUUGCUGGGGGCCAAGGAAGGCCUCCCGGUGACGGUGACUUGUAGGCCCUCUGUGAUCAUGGUGACGCCCAGGGAACCGUAGGCCCGUGACCUGUGCAGGUGGGUCCAAGUCCCCUAUGGAGCCUCCCUUGGUGCUGUAACCUGCUCUGAGCAGAAGGCACAGUGGGCUUCACAGGUAGAAAGGUGACAUCGUAUGUGUGUGUACCCAUUCCCAAAGGAUCUUGGGCAGGUCCCGCAAACACACAGGAGCCUGGCCACCCAGCGGGGGGCAUGGAGCCAGGCUCAAAGCCCUGCAAGGGGCAACGGAGGCCUGUGGCUCUAUGUAAAGAAAGACAGAUGGAGGGACACAGAAGCGCUGGGUGUAUGUCUGGUGCUCCGGAGAGCUGCAAACAUGACUUUGGGGGUGACUGUCAGAGGGUGUUGAAAUUAACUGACACAUGAGAUGCUUCCUGCCGAGUGGAGAGAUCAGUCUACUGGGCAGAAUUUACAGAGGAACACUUAAGAGCCCAUUCCAUGGCUCUCAGCUUCUCAGGCCAAGAAUUUAAAAAUGUAGGGAGGACAGUGGACCACGUCAUCGAGAGUGGAGAUCUUUCCUGUGAAGAUGUCAAGUAGCAGGAAAGAGAAAUCCAGGUGGAACAGGGGGGCGGGUCAGCCCUGCCCCGACUCUGCUCUGCUCUCUGUAACAAAUAAUGACACUGUUUUUCUUUGCAGGGUUGGGGAUGGAACCCAGGUAUUGUUAUGCUAGGCCAGGGCUCUACCACUGAGCUACACCCCAAGCCUCACUGAGCCGCUUUGGCCAAGAGGGGACACCACAGCUGCAGCAGGCUGGAUCACGCCCCCGCCUGAGUGGAGUGGGGGUGCAGCUCUGGGACCCACAAGGAGGAAGGGCUUUCUCAGAACUGGCACCGUGAGGUCUCAGCAGCCCGAGAGAAGUCCCGGCACCUCGAGCCAGGAACUAUUUUGGAAAUAACUGGAAAGGCUAGACUAGAAGGGAGGAGCACCUCUGCGCCUCCCGUGCAUCUCCAAGAAAAACAAGGCUCCAAACAGCCCGGUCCCAGCCUGUGCUCUCCCCCGCCCCACUCCCCACCACCAGUUGCUGAGAAAAUGGGGCAGGAGCGCGGGAAGGUUAGAGGGCAGCCACAACCCCAAGGACUGUGCACAGGUUCACUUCCAGGGCCUUUGGCUUAAAUGUAGAAUCAUAAACCUGAGGACGGCUCCAGCUCUGGGCUUUACAGAUGGGGCAACAGAGACCAGGUGACCACAACACACCUGCAGUGCUGGGGCCCCGCAGGAGGCGCUCUCUGUCUCUGCACUGUUUUAUUUGAAGCGUACGAUGAACCCCAGCCACACAGCACGCUCACUGCCCCGAUUUCCAAAGGAGGAAGCAGGCUCCCAGAACGGAAUGACUUCCCAAGGUCGCAGGAGCAGGGAGCAGUGGAGACACCCGAGCCACACUGAGCGUCUCUGCGGACCACGCUUGCUCCACUCUAGCCCGUCCCUUCCCCUGCUGGCUUUUGUAUUUAUGCGUCCUUCUCCCUCCUGUGUUACAGCAGCGGAAACAGACUCAGAGAGGCUGAUUUGCUCAUGUUUCCACAACUAGUCGGUGGCAGAAGUUAUAUUUGAACUUGGGCUUGGCUGCCCCUAGCACCCAAGUGCUUUCCAUUAUGUCAGCAUUUCUGAGAUUUUUCCUCCCAAAUAUCCCGAAUUACAGACGAGACCUGAAGCGUACAGCAAGCCGCACACAGAAACAGAAAGAUCUCCUGGAUAUCUUGUGCUUUAUUGUAUAACUACACACACACACACACACACACACACACACAGACUUUGAAAAUGUAGAUGUGCUGCGUCUUUCUUAGGACACCCUCUGUACACGGAUGCUGAAGGAAAACCUGUCUCUUGAGAGGCCCGCGCUUGGCUUAGCCACCGGAUUGGGGUGAGGAGAGCUAAGCCCUGAUGCCUCUGAGCCCUGAUGUUCAGGAUGACGUACCCAGGGGCUGAGCCAAAGGAUGGGGGUGCACAAAGCACGCGGCAGAGCCCUCACUGGAUCCUGCCACGCGGCCAUCAACCUGUCGUGCUUACAGCCCCCAAGCCCUUCCCUCUCCCGCAGCCAGCAGGAAGGACAGGCUAACACAGAAAUCAGCCUCCUCCUUCCCCAAGGCCUCCAGCAGCUGCUGGCUGCAAACAGCAAACAGCAAACAGCAAACAUGGGAACCCCUGACACAGCCCUCAAGGCCCUGAAUGACCUGGCCCCAGCCUUGCCUCGGCCUCGCUCAGCUCCUCCCUCUUUCCCACUCCCUGCGGCUGCCCGGCCUCCCCAGGCCCAGCUCUACUCCAACCCAGCCAGCUGGGCAGGCACAGGGGAGCCUGCGUAAGCCAGGGCUCCACCCUCUGGCUUGCCGGCUGUUUAUCCCGUUGCGUUUCCCUUUAAAUGUCACUUCCUGCAGGUCCUCCAGGAGGUCCUCUCCCACGGCUCUCCCUUUGGUCAUGGAUCCUAGCUUCUUUCCUGGCCCUGAGAACCAAUUUGCUGGCAUUCACUUUACUUGGCUACCUCUCCCACAAGUCGCCUGUUAAAAUAAAAAGAAAAAGAGGUCCAAGGAGAAAUUAUGACCUAAAGAGAGGUCUCAAGCCAGGAUCUUGCAGGCUUUGUCUCAGCAAGUAUCCCUGGAAGCACACAGGAAGUUGGCCUUGGAAGUAACGCUGCACAGUUGGAUCUUCCGAUGCAUACACCCAAGUGCUUUCAAGUCAACAGCAUGGUGUAUAAUGUGGUAGCAGGGGGAGCCACCCUUCUGGGCCCCAGGAAGCCUUAGGGCUAAGCUUCAGCUGUCUGCAAGCCAAAGCCAUCAAACUCUGGACCUGCCACAGCUGUGGCAGCUGUUUUGUGCAACGUGGAGACCAAGGACUGCAGAGAGGGAGAAGGACACAGCUGCUGUGCAGAACACGAGGGGGAGGGACGGGGCCAGCGGGUGUUUGGAUUCCUGGUUCCAGCAUCUCCAGAGGGCCAGCCUCCACGUGGCAGACCAAGGUGGUGGGGGAGGGUGUUCGAGCGCCACGGGCCAAUAGGGAAAUGACACAAGUCAUUUCAGAUGGUCUCACUGCCACAUUAAAAAGCAUAGAGAAGCAGAUGAAAUUAA